AUAGCAUAUAUUAAAGUUGUUGCAGUUAAAAAGCUCGUAGUUGGACCUCUGGGGGAUUGCCAAUGUCCGCUUCGGCGUGCGCAGCGGCGGUCUCCCAUCCUUCUGUUAACACUUCUUGGCCUUCAUUGGCUGGUUGUGGGCUCAGAUAUUUUACCUUGAGAAAAUUAGAGUGUUUCAGGCAGGCUUGCGCCCGAAUACAUUAGCAUGGAAUAAUAGAAUAAGACUUCGGUCUCCUUUGUUGGUUUGAGGGAUUGGAGUAAUGAUUAAUAGGGACAGUUGGGGGCAUUAGUAUUUAAUUGUCAGAGGUGAAAUUCUCGGAUUUGUUAAAGACUAACUUAUG
rnacentral:rRNA from 1 species